UACGUAGGGGGCUAGCGUUGUCCGGAAUCAUUGGGCGUAAAGCGCGUGUAGGCGGUCCGGUAAGUCCGCUGUGAAAGUCGGGGGCUCAACCCUCGAAUGCCGGUGGAUACUGUCGGGCUAGAGUCCGGAAGAGGAGAGUGGAAUUCCUGGUGUAGCGGUGAAAUGCGCAGAUAUCAGGAAGAACACCAAUGGCGAAAGCAGCUCUCUGGGACGGUACUGACGCUGAGACGCGAAAGCGUGGGGAGCGAACAGG
rnacentral:rRNA from 1 species